GUGGGGAAUAUUGCACAAUGGGCGGAAGCCUGAUGCAGCGACGCCGCGUGAGGGAUGACGGCCUUCGGGUUGUAAACCUCUUUCAGCAGGGAAGAAGCUUUUAUCGGUGACGGUACCUGCAGAAGAAGCACCGGCUAACUACGUGCCAGCAGCCGCGGUAAUACGUAGGGUGCGAGCGUUGUCCGGAAUUAUUGGGCGUAAAGAGCUCGUAGGCGGCGUGUCACGUCGGAUGUGAAAGCCCGGGGCUUAACCCCGGGUCUGCAUUCGAUACGGGCUCGCUAGAGUUCGGUAGGGGAGAUCGGAAUUCCUGGUGUAGCGGUGAAAUGCGCAGAUAUCAGGAGGAACACCGGUGGCGAAGGCGGAUCUCUGGGCCGAUACUGACGCUGAGGAGCGAAAGCGUGGGGAGCGAACAGGAUUAGAAACCCCUGUAGUCC
rnacentral:rRNA from 1 species